rnacentral:rRNA from 1 species
CCCUUAGAUGUUCUGGGCCGCACGCGUGCUACACUGAGUAAUUCAAUGGGUAAGGGAACGCUAGAGCAUUACCUAAUCUUGAAAUUUGCUCGUGAUGGGGAUCGACGGUUGCAAUUUUCCGUCGUGAACGAGGAAUACCUUGUAGGCGCAUGUCAUCAUCAUGCGCCGAAUACGUCCCUGCCCUUUGUACACACCGCCCGUCGCUCCUACCGAUUGAGUGAUCCGGUGAGGCUCUGGGACCUGGACGGAAAGAGCGUUUCGCUUGUUCUGUUUGGGAAACUUGGUCGAACCUUAUCAUUUAGAGGAAGGAGAAGUCGGAACA